rnacentral:rRNA from 1 species
GAUGAACGCUAGCGACAGGCCUAACACAUGCAAGUCGAGGGGCAGCACAUGAGUAGCAAUACGAUGGUGGCGACCGGCGCACGGGUGAGUAACACGUAUGCAGCCUGCCUUCUACUAUGGGAUAACCCGUUGAAAGACGGACUAAUACCGUAUAAUACAGGGGCUCCGCAUGGAGAUAUUUGUUAAAGAUUUAUUGGUAGAAGAUGGGCAUGCGUAUGAUUAGAUAGUUGGUGAGGUAACGGCUCACCAAGUCAACGAUCAUUAGGGGUUCUGAGAGGAAGGUCCCCCACACUGGUACUGAGACACGGACCAGACUCCUACGGGAGGCAGCAGUGAGGAAUAUUGGUCAAUGGACGAGAGUCUGAACCAGCCAAGUCGCGUGAAGGAAGACGGUUCUAUGAAUUGUAAACUUCUUUUGUGCAGGAAUAAAGUGGGUUACGUGUAACCUUUUGUAUGUACUGUACGAAUAAGGAUCGGCUAACUCCGUGCCAGCCGCCGCAGUAAUAC